rnacentral:rRNA from 1 species
ACUCAAAUGAAUAGACGGGGACCUGCACAAGCGGUGGAGCAUGUGGUUUAAUUCGACAGUAAGCGAGGAACCUUACCAAGGCUUGACAUGUAUCUGCAUACACCAGAGAUGGUGUAGCCUUCGAGGGUGAUACACAGGUGCUGCACGGUUGUCGUCAGCUCGUGCCGUGAGGUGUUCACUUAAGUGUGAAAACGAGCGCAACCCCUAUCGCCAGUUACAAGUGUCUGGUGAAACUGCCGGCGUCUAAGCCGGAGGAAGGCGGGGAUGACGUCAAAUCAGCGUGGCUCUUACGCCUUGGGCGACACACGUGCUACAAUGGGAAAUUACAAAGGGACGCCAAACCGUAAGGUGGAGCAAAUCCUAUCAAACUUUCCCCCAGUUCGGAUUGAGGGCUGCAACUCGCCCUCAUGAAGCCGGAAUCGCUAGUAACCGUAGAUCAGCCUCGCUACGGUGAAUACGUUCUCAGGUUUUGUACACACCGCCCGU